rnacentral:misc_RNA from 1 species
AUGUUCUUCCUAGCUGUCGUUGAUCCUGUAAACGAGAGAAUUAUGUCUGUCGUUCUUUGGAUUAUGUCUUGGAACGAUGGACGGAUUGCUGGAUUGCUUUGCCAACAAUCGAGGAUGAUUGUAGAUACUCGAGUAUCAAGAUGUUCCGGAAUUUCCAAUCUACGAUCCAUAAAUCCGACAACUCCUACAACCUGUAAAGAAUUAAGGUUGUUCCAUGGAAUAGAU